GACGAACCGUACGAACGUUAUUCGGAAUUACUGGGCGUAAAGGGCUCGUAGGUGGCCAACUAAGUCAGACGUGAAAUCCCUCGGCUUAACCGGGGAACUGCGUCUGAUACUGGUUGGCUCGAGUUUGGGAGAGGGAUGCGGAAUUCCAGGUGUAGCGGUGAAAUGCGUAGAUAUCGAGAGGAACACCUGCGGCGAAGGCGGGUUGCUGGGCUGACACUGACGCUGAGGCGCGAAAGCUAGGGGAGCGAACGGG
rnacentral:rRNA from 1 species